GGUUCGGAACAACUCAGGGAAACUUGAGCUAAUACCGGAUGUGCCCUUCGGGGGAAAGAUUUAUCGCCAUUGGAGCGGCCCGCGUCUGAUUAGCUAGUUGGUGAGGUAAAGGCUCACCAAGGCGACGAUCAGUAGCUGGUCUGAGAGGAUGAUCAGCCACAUUGGGACUGAGACACGGCCCAAACUCCUACGGGAGGCAGCAGUGGGGAAUCUUGCGCAAUGGGCGAAAGCCUGACGCAGCCAUGCCGCGUGAAUGAUGAAGGUCUUAGGAUUGUAAAAUUCUUUCACCGGGGACGAUAAUGACGGUACCCGGAGAAGAAGCCCCGGCUAACUUCGUGCCAGCAGCCGCGGUAAUACGAAGGGGGCUAGCGUUGCUCGGAAUUACUGGGCGUAAAGGGAGCGUAGGCGGACUGUUAAGUUAGAGGUGAAAGCCCAGGGCUCAACCUUGGAAUUGCCUUUGAUACUGGCAGUCUUGAGUACGGAAGAGGUAUGUGGAACUCCGAGUGUAGAGGUGAAAUU
rnacentral:rRNA from 1 species